AGAGGAAGCGGUGUUGUGUUUCUGGCGCGGAUGAGUUGACACUGCUUUCAUAUAUCCACUUCAUUCAUUCAGUUUGAGAUGAAGAAGGAAUAUUUGCAGGCAGUGUCAUCUCUCUGCGCCUGGAACCUCCCGUUCCUGU
rnacentral:pre_miRNA from 1 species